CCUAGUGAUGCAUAAGUCACUAAGGGUUGGAUUGUUCACCCUUAUUAGGGAUCUGGAGGUGGGUUUAGACCGUCGUGAGCCAGGUUUGAUUUAUCCUACUGGAUACUCCAUCAUGAUAGUAGAUUGAUUUAGUACGAGAGGAACUGUUGAUUAUGGCCUCUGGUUCAGCGAUUAUGGGAAACCAUACGUCGCGCCGCUACGCCGUCUGGGAUAAUGGCUGAAGGCCUCUUAAGCCAGAAACUCAUCUAGAGACUGAUGGAUGGUAGUACAUAUCUACGGCAAAAUAAUCUUAGAGAA
rnacentral:rRNA from 1 species